AUUGAACGCUGGCGGCAGGCCUAACACAUGCAAGUCGAACGAGUGGCGGACGGGUGAGUAAUGUCUGGGAAACUGCCUGAUGGAGGGGGAUAACUACUGGAAACGGUAGCUAAUACCGCAUACCAUCGGAUGUGCCCAGAUGGGAUGAGCUUGUUGGUGGGGUAACGGCUCACCAAGGCGACGAUCCCGAGCUGGUCUGAGAGGAUGACCAGCCAAAUGGGAACGGAGGCACGGUCCAGACACGUACGGGAGGCAGAAGUGGGGAAUAUUGCACAAUGGGCGCAAGCCAGAUGCAGCCAUGCCGCGUGUAUGAAGAAGGCCUUCGAGUUGUAAAGUACUUUCAGCGGGGAGGCGUUACCCGCAGAAGGAGCACCGGCUAACUCCGUGCCAGCCGCCGCGGUAAUAC
rnacentral:rRNA from 1 species